CUCUAAAAAAAGAAUCUCCUGAACACAUCCAAUCCCGGCUGACCUUGGAAGCUAAGCAGGGUCGGGCCUGGUUAGUACUUGGAUGGGAGAUGACCUAGGAAGACCAGGUGCCAUAGGGG
rnacentral:rRNA from 1 species